CGCCGCUGAACACUCUCCCCCCAACAACUUUUGGGCCAGUUAUGUGAAAUCCCGGGCCGAUUUCUCUUUUCAGUCCAGCUCUGACAAGGAGCACAUGGAUAUUGUUGAAGUUAAACAAGUACAAGUUUGCCCAGAGUUUUCUUAAGCCGUUUGGACUGUGAUGCAGCACAUGUUUCCUUGGCAAUGAAGUGGAGGCUGAUGUUUGUGCAGCUUUCUGCAAUGCACUGAGUAUGAAGAUGUGAUUGUUGUAUGGUUCUAGGUUGAACAUGUGUGCCUCAAUUUCCUUGAAUGCAGAACCACCAUGGAGAUCCAGAACCGUUGUGGGGACAGAGAUGGGCCUUGUGAGUGUGUGCUGUUGAAGAAAUCUCUCAGCUGUCUUGCAGACUUUCAGGACGCUGUCUGACGGUCUUAUAAAUCCACCUCAGGACUUCAUGUCGAUCAGUGUGUUCAUCUUGGGAAGAGCUCUCGACACUGAGUGCUGAUAAACAGGCUGAACGUCACUGCCUGAAAUGCCAGCGUAUCAGAAGAUGUUGCCUCCAGUGUCACUGUGCUAUCCGGUGGAGAACUGUUGCCACUAGCUCUGAUGGCAUGUCUUGCUACCAUUCUUUUGAAAGCUGAAUAAUGUGGGAUUGUUGUUAAAUCCAUUAGCAGAUUUGUUCCCACAUAUCUGCAAAUUUUUAUUGUAUUGUUCAGUUUAAGUCAAUUUUUGUGUGUACU